rnacentral:sRNA from 1 species
GGUUCGACCCGAGCGCCAGCGAGAGAGCGUUGCCGCAGGCAACGACCCGUAGGGCGAAGCGCGCAGCGCUGAGUAAUCCUUCCCCCACCACCA